rnacentral:rRNA from 1 species
AACGAACGCUGGCGGCAUGCCUAACACAUGCAAGUCGAACGAGAUCUUCGGGUCUAGUGGCGCACGGGUGCGUAACGCGUGGGAAUCUGCCCUUUGGUUCGGAAUAACAGUUGGAAACGACUGCUAAUACCGGAUGAUGACGAAAGUCCAAAGAUUUAUCGCCAGAGGAUGAGCCCGCGUAGGAUUAGCUAGUUGGUGUGGUCAAGGGGCACCAAGGCGACGAUCCUUAGCUGGUCUGAGAGGAUGAUCAGCCACACUGGGACUGCGACACGGCCCAGACUCCUAAGGGAGGCAGCAGUGGGGAAUAUUGGACAAUGGGCGAAAGCCUGAUCCUGCAAUGCCGCGUGAGUGAUGAAGGCCUUAGGGUUGUAAAGCUCUUUUACCCGGGAUGAUAAUGACAGUACCGGGAGAAUAAGCUCCGGCUAACUCCGUGCCAGCCGCCGCGGUAA